rnacentral:lncRNA from 1 species
GAUGAUGAUGAUGAUGAUGAUGCCCCUCUUAUCGUCAGGAGGAAGGUAAUCAAAUCGGUCUAUUUACAAGUAUGUUUUUCCCCAUUUGAUACUUUUCUGUGUACUGAUGAUAUUUUGGACUUUUCAGAAAAGUUCAACCUCCCCUUCGAAGGCUUUGACAUCGACAACUCCUGCUCCAUCAUCCUCUGCUGAGGCUACUUCAUCCAAAUCGGUUGGUGAUG